GACAGAGGUGCCGAGCGUUAGGCGGAAUCACUGGGCUUAAAGCGUGUGUAGGCGGGCCGUUAAGUGCCCCGUGAAAUCCCCCGGCUCAACCGGGGAACGGCGGGGCAUACUGGCGGCCUUGAGCCACUUAAGGGCAGACGGAAUAAGCGGUGGAGCGGUGAAAUGCGUAGAUAUCGCUUGGAACGCCGACGGCGAAAGCAGUCUGCUGGGGGUGUGCUGACGCUGAGACACGAAAGCCAGGGGAGCGAACGGG
rnacentral:rRNA from 1 species